rnacentral:rRNA from 1 species
UACAGAGGUCUCAAGCGUUGUUCGGAUUCAUUGGGCGUAAAGGGUGCGUAGGCGGCGGGGCAAGUCAGGUGUGAAAUCUCGGGGCUCAACUCCGAAACUGCAUUUGAUACUGCCUUGCUAGAGUACUGGAGAGGAGAUUGGAAUUUACGGUGUAGCAGUGAAAUGCGUAGAGAUCGGGAGGAACACCAGUGGCGAAGGCGGCUACCUGGACCAGGACUGACACUGAAGCACGAAAGCGUGGGGAGCAAACAGG